GUCCACGCUGUAAACGAUGGGUACUAGACGUUGGGAAGCUUGUCUUCUUAGUGUCGCAGCUAACGCGAUAAGUACCCCGCCUGGGGAGUACGGCCGCAAGGUUAAACUCAAAGGAAUUGACGGGGCCCGCACAAGCGGUGGAGCAUGUGGUUUAAUUCGAUGCAACGCGAAAACCUUACCUGCCCUUGACAUCUGGAGAAUCCUGCAGAGAUGCGGGAGUGCCUUCGGGAGCUCCAAGACAGGUGCUGCAUGGCUGUCGU
rnacentral:rRNA from 1 species